rnacentral:rRNA from 1 species
UACGUAGGGUGCGAGCGUUAAUCGGAUUUACUGGGCGUAAAGCGUGCGCAGGCGGCCCGUUAAGACAGGUGUGAAAUCCCUGGGCUCAACCUAGGAAUUGCGCUUGUGACUGGCGGGCUCGAGUACGGUAGAGGGGGGUGGAAUUCCCGGUGUAGCGGUGAAAUGCGUAGAGAUCUGGAGGAAUACCGAUGGCGAAGGCAGCCCCCUGGGCCUGUACUGACGCUCAUGCACGAAAGCGUGGGGAGCAAACAGG